ACUGGCCCAGAGAGACAGGAAACACAGGGAUAAAUACACUGGCCCAGAGAGACAGGAAACACAGGGAUAAAUACACUGGCCCAGAGAGACAGGAAACACAGGGAUAAAUACACUGGGGAAAACAAGCGACACCUGGAGGGGGUGGAGACAAUAACGAGGACAGGUGAAACAGAUCAGGGUGUGACAAAGCUUAUUUCAUUAAAUUCUACACAUUUUGUAAUGGGGUGUAAAUUUUGCAUUUUGCAAAGCAUAUUUUCUUGCAAUUCUAAUUAUUUGUUUUUUGUAAGAAUUACAACAAUACAUAUCGGCAAAAAAAAAAAAAAAAAAAAAUGUUAGCUGACAUGGGCUAGUUGAUCUGGACAUUUCUGACAAGUGAUAAAUAGCUCUAAGUUUCUACAGACACAUUGGUGCAGCUAGCUUCCGGGUGAAGCAGGCGGGUGUUAGGAAGCGCGGUUUAGCGGGUCAUGUUUCGGAAGACGCAUUACUCGACCUUCACCUCCCGAGCCCGUUGGGGAGUUGCAGCGAUGACACAAGAUAAAAAUUGGGGAGAAAAAGGGGGUACAUUUUUUAAAUAAAAAAUCAUUCGUAUAAAAUUAUUAAAAUGGAAAACAAAACAAUUCUCAAUAAAGAAGUUAUCAGCAAAGUCACUGCUAGUAGGAAAAGUCAAGUGCAAGGCUACUGGGCCAUUAGCUAUCCCAAAUCAAUAUAUUGAUNNNNNNNNNNCACGGAGGCUGUGCAGUGUUCACAUCCCCCGCCCUAUCCUCUGCCUGCUUGGCUGGGACACACGGAGGCUGUGCAGUGUUCACAUCCCCCGCCCUAUCCUCUGCCUGCUUGGCUGGGACACACGGAGGCUGUGCAGUGUUCACAUCCCCACUACAAUGACCUUUCCACAAGCCCAGGGAGCAGGCAAUGCAGAGGAGAGGCAAUACAUGUAAUGAAAGAAGCAAAGGCAAUUAAAGUGUGUCUGCUGGUAGUACGUAGUCUGUGGAGCUCUGCAGCCAGCUGCCUGGUCCUCUCCUCCUGGCCCCCUCUCUCCUCUGACAGCUGGGAGCUCCUCUGCUGCAGGCGGGACAGCUCACUACGUAGACCUGCAGCCUCACCACUCUGCUCAGCCAGCUGACCAGUACCACCACACCACAGCCGCACACCACAAAACAAACAUCCACACAAAAUAUACAUUGUUAGUCCCACUACACAUUAUUUCCUCCACUGUCAUUAACCUAAAACAAGUUGAGAGUUAAUGUCAUUGUUUU
rnacentral:lncRNA from 13 species